GACAGAGGUGCCGAGCGUUAGGCGGAAUCACUGGGCUUAAAGCGUGUGUAGGCGGGCCGUUAAGUGUCUUGUGAAAUCCCCCGGCUCAACCGGGGAAUUGCUGGGCAUACUGGCGGUCUUGAGCAAUCUAGGGGCAGAUGGAACAAGUGGUGGAGCGGUGAAAUGCGUAGAUAUCACUUGGAACGCCAAAGGUGAAGACAGUCUGCUGGGAUUUGCUGACGCUGAGACACGAAAGCCAGGGGAGCGAACGGG
rnacentral:rRNA from 1 species